rnacentral:rRNA from 1 species
GGCGGACGGGUGAGUAAUAUAUAGGUAAUGUGCCCUAGAGAAGAGGAUAACAGUUGGAAACGACUGCUAAUACUCUAUAUGCCUUUAAGACAAAAGUCUGCAAGGGAAAUAUUUAUAGCUCUAGGAUCGGCCUGUACGGUAUCAGCUAGUUGGUGAGGUAAUGGCUCACCAAGGCAAUGACGCCUAACUGGUUUGAGAGGAUGAUCAGUCACACUGGAACUGAGACACGGUCCAGACUCCUACGGGAGGCAGCAGUGGGGAAUAUUGCACAAUGGGGGAAACCCUGAUGCAGCAACGCCGCGUGGAGGAUGACACAUUUCGGUGCGUAAACUCCUUUUAUAUAGGAAGAUAAUGACGGUACUAUAUGAAUAAGCGCCGGCUAACUCCGUGCCAGCAGCCGCGGUAAUACGGAGGGCGCAAGCGUUACUCGGAAUCACUGGGCGUAAAGAGCGUGUAGGCGGGUUAAUAAGUUUGAAGUGAAAUCCUAUGGCUCAACCAUAGAACUGCUUUGAAAACUGUUAACCUAGAAUAUGGGAGAGGUAGAUGGAAUUUCUGGUGUAGGGGUAAAAUCCGUAGAGAUCAGAAGGAAUACCGAUUGCGAAGGCGAUCUACUGGAACAUUAUUGACGCUGAGACGCGAAAGCGUGGGGAGCAAACAGGAUUAGAUACCCUGGUAGUCCACGCCCUAAACGAUGCUCACUAGUUGUUGUGAGGCUAGACCUUGCAGUAAUGCAGUAAACACAUUAAGUGU